UCCCGGGUAGCUCAAUGGUAGAGCACCUGGCUGUUAACCAGGUUGUUGCCGGUUCGAGCCCGGCCCCGGGAGCCA
rnacentral:tRNA from 1 species